AGACUGAAUCCCUCACAAACACCCCAUCGGAUACCUGCAGCCGCACAACUCAAACCCUGCCAGCACUGAACUGCCAGCACUGAACCAUUAUUGAAGUUACAAGAGAUGCAUUCUGACAAAAUGAAAAGCUUAGUACAAAUGAGAAGACAAUCCAUUGGCUCCAUAAUGAGGACCAAAUGGCUGUGGAGAACUUGUCUUGUGGAAUCAGAAAGUUUGCUGCUGAUGCAGUUAAACUGGAGCAGAUAAUAAAGGAACGAAUGUUCAAUGCUGCAAAUGGAAAGUAGGCAUGCCAAACUUAUUGGAAGCUGUAUGGCUGUACAAGCUGCAUAUGAAUGGAUUUUCUGUAUUCCAGGAUUUUUAUAUGAUUUUGCAAACUUAACAUAUUCUCAGUGUGUUUGGCACUUUUGUAUAUCAAAAUUGAUACUGCUGUGAGGGGGAGGAUUGCAGAUGACUAAAGGACCAAUUGACUGGAAGGGUUUCCCUUCAAAAUGAUGGUGGUAGUGGUGAUAAUAAAAGUAUUGUGGUAC